UUUAGAGUUUGAUCCAUGGCUCAGAGCGAACGCUGGCGGCGUGCUUAACACAUGCAAGUCGAACGGGAGAUUUCCUGUAGCAAUACAGGGCGUCUUCCGUGGCGGACGGGUGCGUAACCCGUGGGCAACCUACCCGGAAAUGGGGAAUAACCCCGCGAAAGCGGGGCUAAUACCGCAUGACAUUCCGUGGACCCCGGUCCUUGGACUCAAAGCCCGCAAGGGCGUUACCGGAGGGGCCCGCGCCCGAUUAGCUAGUUGGUGAGGUAACGGCUCACCAAGGCGAUGAUCGGUAGCCGGUCUGAGAGGAUGGUCGGCCACACUGGAACUGAGAAACGGUCCAGACUCCUACGGGAGGCAGCAGUGGGGAAUCUUGCGCAAUGGGCGAAAGCCUGACGCAGCGACGCCGCGUGGGGGAUGAAGCUUCUCGGAGCGUAAACCCCUUUCGACCCGGACGAAUGUCCCGCAAGGGAUAGACGUACGGUAAAAGAGCCCCGCA
rnacentral:rRNA from 1 species